rnacentral:tRNA from 1 species
GUAGCUGUGGCUCAGUGGCAGAGCACUCAUCUAGCACAUGUGAGGCACUGGGUUCGAUCCUUAGCACCAUAUA